AUUGGUCUAUCUCUUGAAAAUCUAGCCAAUGAAUCGAACGGUUUUCUCGAUUCAAACACCAUUUCAGUUCAAGAUAACGCUAUUUGCCAGAAUAUCUCAUGGAUAUCUCCUCGCUUUGAAAAAGUCGAAUUUCCGGUUGGUGAAAACGGAACAUGGGCAAAUUCAACAGGAAUGUGUCCAUUCAACACUACUCAAGUCAAUGAACCGAUUGGACGGGCUCAGUGUAUCGGCGAUGGUAUUACCCAGAGCCAGUGG